UACGUAGGGCGCAAGCGUUAUCCGGAAUUAUUGGGCGUAAAGAGCUCGUAGGCGGUUUGUCGCGUCUGCUGUGAAAGACCGGGGCUCAACUCCGGUUCUGCAGUGGGUACGGGCAGACUAGAGUGCAGUAGGGGAGACUGGAAUUCCUGGUGUAGCGGUGAAAUGCGCAGAUAUCAGGAGGAACACCGAUGCGAAGGCAGGUCUCUGGGCUGUAACUGACGUGAGGAGCGAAAGCAUGGGGAGCGAACAGG
rnacentral:rRNA from 1 species